rnacentral:rRNA from 1 species
CACUAGUGUAUAUUAAAGUUGUUGCGGUAAAAAAGCUCGUAGUUGGAUUUCUGUUGAGAGCGACCGGUCCAUACCAUGUAUGCGUAUCUGGCUUGCUCUCGGCAUCCUCUCGAUAGACGUUACUGCGCUUGAUUGCGUGGUGCGGAUCUCGGGACUUUUACUUUGAGGAAAUUAGAGUGUUCACGGCAGGCUUUCGCCAGAAUACAUUAGCAUGGAAUAAUACUAUAGGAUCUUGGUUCUAUUUUGUUGGUUUCUAGAAUUGAGAUAAUGAUUAAUAGGGACAAUUGGGGGCAUUCGUAUCAACACGUCAGAGGUGGAAUUCUUGGAUUGUGUUGCGACGAACUACUGCGAAAGCAUUUGCCAAGGAUGUUUUCAUUGA